GUGGUUAGACGGAAAGACCCCGUGAACCUUUACUACAGCUUCGCAGUGGCAACAGAACCGUUAUGUGUAGGAUAGGCGGGAGGCUAUGAAGCAGGGACGCCAGUCUUUGUGGAGCCAUCCUUGAAAUACCGCCCUUGAUGCUUUUGUUGUCUAACCGCGGUCCGUGAAACCGGAUCCGGGACCCUGCGUGGUGGGUAGUUUGACUGGGGCG
rnacentral:rRNA from 1 species